UUCAGUGAAAGCUUCUAGCUUGAGGGAAGAGAGUAGAGUGUGGGAGCAGGGUGCUGGAAAUACUGCUGUGGACUCUGCAUGCAUACUUGGGUAUGUGCACACCCGUGAGCACAUAUUGUCUAAAUUAAUUAACUGCUUGAUUGAUUGAUGAUUGAUUUAAAAAUGUAAAGACUACCUGUACUGGAUGGUUUUGUGUGUCAACUUGACCCAAGCUGGAGUUAUCACAGAGAAAGGAGCCUCCCUUGAGAAAAUGCCUUCAUGAGAUCCAGCUGUAAGUUCCUAACUAUUUUGAAAAGCAGUAAUACACGAAGACACUUGGAGGAGUUAUAGUCCAUAGCUGGGAUCAAGAUUAUAAAAUUAUGGGAGUGGAGUGACGAGUCACCAGCUAAAAGCAGUGGCUGCUCUUCCAGAGGACAUGGAUUCAAUUUCCAACACCCACAUUUUACAUUUAUGGCCAUGUGUGACUACAGUUUCAAGAGAACCUGACAUCCUCUUUUGUCUUCCGAGGACACUGCAUGCAUGUGGUGCACGAACACACGUUCAAGCAAAACACCCAGACAGGUCAUUGCUACUUCCUCUACUCUACAUUACACAGAUGCCGUUGGCUUGUGCAAAACAAAUAAGUAACUCCUCAUAAUGGCUGGGAAAGAAAUAAUUUCAGUGAUGAAAAGGAUCUGUGGUCUGGAGAUUGUGUGUUGGGUGAGGGACUCCUGCCACCCCACCACAGCUUCCUAAGUUUGGGAUAGAUGAUCUACCUCAUCAGUUGGAGACCAUGCUUAGUACACACACCUUCAGAUGUCCAGAGAGAUUUGUAUGCACAGAAUGCUUGUCAUACUCCUCAAUGGUCCACGAAGGAUUCUUUUUCCUUUCUUCCAUAGCUUCUUCCAAACUUACGUCACCAUACAAUGGGUUAUUCUUCAUAACUGAAGACAUGGAUGCUGGAGGACUCUCAGGAAGAACAGGGUUCUCCCCACCAAACCCCUUGAUUCGUUGAGUAGCGAUGUUCUUUUCUCUCUGUUGGGAGAUUAGAAAAUGAGGCUUCUGUUGUAAGAUGGGCUUCUUGGUGGCAGUGUAGCCAAAAUGACAGAAGUCUGCAUCUGAAAACCUUUUGAUUCUGUCUCAAACCCAACAGAUGAAGCAAUGAAUUAGAAAACAACUCCUGGAUCUACCUCAAUCUAGAAUCCCUCCAUUUCAGACUUCUCUCUCUUUAUGUUACCUUGUUGAGUUUAAUACUUAUUUCACUGAUACUUUCCAGUCACAAAGAAAGAAUUGUGUUCCUCAACUCAUCUAGUAGAUGUUGAAGAAACUCAGUCUCCCAGUGCAUUAGGCUUUAAUGACAUUUUAUGCCUUUUUGUAUAUUAUACGAGUCAUAAAAAUACUUAAUAUUAUUCUUUAAAUCCUGUAAAAUUAAGAUUAAAAACAUUUUUCAAGAACUGCAAUAUGGCUCAGCAGAUAAAAGUUCUUGCUGCUAACCUGCCAGACUGGAUUUGAUCACCAAGCACUCAAAGUACAAGAAGAGAAUAGGAUCCCAAAGCUGCCAGUGCCUUGUUCCUUACUUCCACACACGCACAAGUCCUGGCAAGCACGUGAACACACACACAAACACACACACACACAUACACACACACACAUAUCAAUAAGUGCCAAAAACUUCUAAGAUCAUCUUAUACCUAUGUCUUGGCUUGUUAUAAACAAAUCAUUAGCUUCUCUGUCAUAGUUUAGGAGGGGGAAUGGUGUAUAGUCUCUUCUCCCAAAUUGAAACAUUCCAUGCUAGACCAAGAUGGAAGGUUCAUUAAAUAUGAGAAGCUAAUUAUGCAUCUUACCAGGCUCAGGAAACUCAAUACACUGAAAUUCUUCAGAAGAUUCAAAGGCUAGAAGACUCAUGAGUUAUCUUCCCAAGCUUGUAUAAGCAAUAAACAACUGCUAGAGUAUAGGCGUCAUCUCAGUGGAGCUGCCUGCUAGCUGGCACAAGCAGGGCACUCCUGAAAUGCAUGUUCUGUGAGUCCUUCCCCAUGCUAGAUUGGGUUUUCUUGGUGCUACUGUUGGCUACGAGCCACCCAUGCUCCUGUAAGGUUCUGUAAUAAACCUAUUGAUUUGAGUCUUUUCAGUUUGUUAUCAUUCCCCUAACUGAGGUGGAAAGACAUUUUUUUCACAUCUC